rnacentral:rRNA from 1 species
UACAGAGGGGGCCAGCGUUAUUCGGAAUUAUUGGGCGUAAAGGGCGCGUAGGCGGCCAUGCGUGUCUUCCGUGAAAUCCCUCGGCUUAACUGAGGACGUGCGGAAGAAACUGCAAGGCUUGAGUCCGGGAGAGGGGGGGUGGAAUUCCCAGUGUAGCGGUGAAAUGCGUAGAUAUUGGGAGGAACACCGGUGGCGAAGGCGGCCCCCUGGACCGGUACUGACGCUGAGGUGCGAAAGCGUGGGGAGCAAACAGG